rnacentral:rRNA from 1 species
UACGGGGGGGGGCAAGCGUUGUUCGGAAUUACUGGGCGUAAAGGGCGCGUAGGCGGUCAGAUAAGUCAGCUGUGAAAACCUCGGGCUUAACCCGAGGCCUGCAGUUGAAACUGUUUGGCUGGAGUGUGGGAGAGGAGAGUGGAAUUCCCGGUGUAGCGGUGAAAUGCGCAGAUAUCGGGAAGAACACCCGUGGCGAAGGCGGCUCUCUGGGACGGUACUGACGCUGAGACGCGAAAGCGUGGGGAGCGAACAGG